CAGCCGCCGCGGUAAUACGGAGGAUCCGAGCGUUAUCCGGAUUUAUUGGGUUUAAAGGGUGCGUAGGCGGGUUGAUAAGUCAGUGGUGAAAGGUUUGCGCUCAACGUAGACAUUGCCAUUGAAACUGUCAGUCUUGAGUACAAAUGAGGUAGGCGGAAUGUGUUGUGUAGCGGUGAAAUGCAUAGAUAUGACACAGAACACCAAUUGCGAAGGUAGCUUACUGGGAUGUAACUGACGCUGAGGCACGAAAGCGUGGGGAUCAAACAGGAUUAGAUACCCUGGUAGUCCACGCAGUAAACGAUGAUUACUAGCUGUUAGCGAUAGAAUGUUAGUGGCUAAGCGAAAGCGAUAAGUAAUCCACCUGGGGAGUACGACCGCAAGGUUGAAACUCAAAGGAAUUGACGGGGGCCCGCACAAGCGGAGGAACAUGUGGUUUAAUUCGAUGAUACGCGAGGAACCUUACCCGGGCUUGAAAUGCAGAGGAAUGACGAGGAAACUUGUCCGCCAGCAAUGGUCUCUGUGUAGGUGCUGCAUGGUUGUCGUCAGCUCGUGCCGUGAGGUGUCGGCUUAAGUGCCAUAACGAGCGCAACCCUUAUUGAUAGUUACUAACAGGUUAAGCUGAGGACUCUAUUGAGACUGCCACCGUAAGGUGAGAGGAAGGUGGGGAUGACGUCAAAUCAGCACGGCCCUUACGUCCGGGGCGACACACGUGUUACAAUGGGGGGUACAGAGGGGAGCUACUUAGCGAUAAGAUGCGAAUCUCGAAAGCCUCUCGUAGUUCGGAUCGGAGUCUGCAACUCGACUCCGUGAAGCUGGAUUCGCUAGUAAUCGCGCAUCAGCCAUGGCGCGGUGAAUACGUUCCCGGGCCUUGUACACACCGCCCGUCAAGCCAUGGGAGUUGGGGGUGCCUA
rnacentral:rRNA from 1 species